AUUUUAGGUUCUAAAUUAGAUUAAUAGGGAAAGAGGUGCAAUUCCUCUACAGCCCCCGCUACUGUAAUGUUGACGAGUCUCUCAAUUACCACUGUGAUACAUAUCAUGGGAAGGGAGGGAUAGAGUGAUACUAAGUCAGGAGACCUGCCUAAUAAA
rnacentral:ncRNA from 1 species